CCUACGGGUGGCAGCAGUGGGGGAUAUUGCACAAUGGGGGAAACCCUGAUGCAGCGACGCCGCGUGAGUGAAGAAGUAUUUCGGUAUGUAAAGCCCUAUCAGCAGGGAAGAAAAUGACAGUACCUGACCAAGAAGCCCCGGCUAACUACGUGCCAGCAGCCGCGGUAAUACGUAGGGGGCAAGCGUUAUCCGGAUUUACUGGGUGUAAAGGGGGCGUAGGCGGUAAUGUAAGUCUGGAGUGAAAGCCCGGGGCCCAACCCCGGGACUGCUUUGGAAACUGUGUAACUGGAGUGCAGGAGGGGCAGGCGGAAUUCCUGGUGUAGCGGUGAAAUGCGUAGAUAUCAGGAGGAACACCGGCGGCGAAGGCGGCCUGCUGGACUAAAACUGACGUUGAGGCUCGAAAGCGUGGGGAGCAAACAGGAUUAGAUACCCCAGUAGUC
rnacentral:rRNA from 1 species